GGGAUGGGAUAGACACAAGGAAGAGUGGCUGCCUGUCUUCAAAAUAACAUCCACCAUCUAUGCUGCUCAAUGUUUAACAACUCUCAGGGACAGGAGGCCCUGAUUUGGAGCAUCCUCUAAGUUCCAUGGUUAUUGUCUGGACGGGGGAAGAGGACAAAGAUGACUAAGAUGGCGCAUUUCCGGGUUCUUCAUCACCAACUUACCUGCGCACGGGAAAAUGCAGCCCGUGCCGGGGAACAAUACAGACCAACUGCGUAGGCGCAACAUGGCGCAAGCCGAAACUUACCUGGCCGCACCUACGGAACGCCCCCGACACGCCCGUGUCCCACCUAUUGCCCUCCCACUCCCAAGCCUUAGACAGAAAAGCCGCUCCCGGCAGGCGCCUAGCACGAACUUCCUCCGCCCCUCCUCAUAUGCGGACCUAGGAACCUCGCCCGAGAACGCCGGAGCGACUUCUUCGGCCUCCACUGCCGGAGACUGGUGAACUUCGCCCUUUCUUCCUUCACAUUGGCUAGCUAAUAAAGUUUCUUUUUUACCUU